GACAUUGCAGAGCCUGUCUGCCCAGAAGCAGAGGGAGAGGGGGCUGAUAAGCACAACUGGCCAGUAUUCCAGACUCCUUAUUUGAUUCUUUAUCUCUGCCAAGGGUGCUGUGUGUCUGACCUUGAAUCUCAUUGAGGCUGCCAAUCAUAGCUGUGAAAUCCCAAGUGUGAGCUCCAGUCAUUGAUAUAGAUCUGGGCUCCUCCAUGUGUCAGCAAAGGGGAAAAUGGUUUAGAACAGCCUUCCACAGGAGUCUUGGUGGAAACAUGCAUUUCUUUGCUAAAAACGAGAUGAUGUAAUGAUAGCGUCAUGCAUGUGCGAUCCAGAGUUUAUAUUUUCUUAGGUUUUAGAUAGUUGCUGGUGCCCAAAGACACUGCAUGAAAAUACCAGAAAUUAAUAAACCACAGAAUUUAAUGGUGUAUCAUG
rnacentral:lncRNA from 1 species